AGCGCUCUCUCCUCAUUUUCAUUUCUCUCUCACAACUUCUCUGCCUUUCUUUUUUCAGAAACAAAACCCUAGCCUUCAUCCUUCAUUUCUCAAAAUCUCUCGUAGCUUCUCUCUCUCCAUCGCUUUGUCGCAAUCCAUGGUCUCCUCUCCAUGUCGCUUGCUGCCCACCACCGAAAAUUCAAGAACCCAAGAGAUCCAUUCCAACAAAACUCAAAUCCACACCUAAUCCUCAUCUCGCAGACUCACGAGACCACCGUUUUCCGGCCAAUGUUCUAAGGUUGAAUAUGUUUCAUAUUUUUAUCAUUUUUCUUUAUAAAUUUGGAUUUGAAUUUGCAGGUACUUGCCUCUAAUAGCCAUCCACAUGCACAUCUGUACUCCACCACCUAUAAUUUGGCAAGCCCUGGUAAGGGUUUUUAGGAAGGCAGCGUUAGACAACGCAUAUGAAGCAGAAAAAGGUAAUAGUGGCGGAGACGGCUCGGUGUGUGCUUGGGAAAUGAGGCAAGAUUGUGGAGAAGAUUAGCCAGGAGAGUGGAGCCCACUUUAGGAUUUUUCCCAUAGACCAGAUUCCGCCAUGUGCAUCCCCUACAGAUGAGUUGAUUCAGAUAAAGAAUGCUUCUUUUUUUUUCGGUUCAGUUGCUUUCGUUUACUUGCAUUGGAGAUGAUAGAAAUGUUGGUACUUUGUAAUUGUGUGCUUUUUAGGUAGCUUAUUUCAAAGUUAUUGGUUUAGUAUCUUUAUAUAUGCAGAAAUGAAUUUCUUUGAGUGAUUAGACUCGUCAUGUCUGCAUAAUGACUUGGUGUGAUGUGUAAGUCCCACCGAAGUUCUUCUGAAUACAAUGAUGUAUAUUCGUGCUUAGACCUAAAUGUUAGCGAGUGCUCUUCAUAUCUUAUUACAAAUAUGCAUAAAUGAGGAAGACCACAUUAUGAAUUUUCGCUAAAACUACAGAGACAUGAUUUCCAUUACUAGACGUUUUCAUCCAGGCAAAGAUGGUAGGACUUUAACUCAAAACAUGCCCAAGGGCAAAGAAAAGGGUUAAUAAAUACAAACAGGACAAUGAUUGUUAACAUUACGAGGGAAGCAUGCUUCAUCUACUGUGGGGAUGCAAAUAACAUGUUUUGGUUUUGUUGUGCUAGUGCAUUACUCAUGGCUAUAUUCCUGUUUGUUUGAUAUGCAAAUAACAGAAGACUUUUCAAUUGUGAAGAAAGCACUUUUAUUUGUUUCAGGUUGUCUUUAGGAUAACCCUAAGGUAGAUGUAGCUAACUCUGGUGCUACCAAAAUUUUAGGGGGAUCGAGUCACGGAACUGGUAUACCUGCGCAAGUUGACCCUAUUGCUCAUUGGGGCUUUGGGCCUGGCUUUAAUGCAUCAGAUUAUCACUCAAGGAAUUAUUCUUCUAAUCCUGAGCCUGAAAAUAUUGGAAGCGAUAACAUAAUGGCUAUGUUAUGUCAUGUUGAUAAGGUUGGUAGUCUGAUAGAGAAGGGUGGAAGCUCAGAGUACAACACUGGUGAGUACAUGCACGUCGAUUUGGAUGCUCUUCUCGACAUGUCCACUAAUGAGAUCGUCAAGCUCUUCCCCGCCAAAGCUCACAAAAGAAUAAAGAUAAUAAUUGUGGAUCAAUGUUGGUAGCACUACAUUCAAACUCCUUGACAGUUGGUUAAAGUGGACAUGAAAAACUAGCAUUAUAAGACAUAUCAUAGGAUUGUAACAAGUACUUGCAAAAAUUUUACAUUAAUAUAACACAAUUCGUUCAAUAAAAAUUGGCAUUGAAAAUA